rnacentral:rRNA from 1 species
UACCGCGGUUAUACGAGAGGCCCCAGUUGAUAAGCACGGCGUAAAGAGUGGUUAUGGAUGAUCCCAGCUAAAGCCGAAGCCCCCCUAGGCCGUCAUACGCACCUGGGGGUGCGAAGCCCCAUCACGAAAGUAGCUUUAAUUACCACCCGACCCCACGACAGCCGAGAUA